rnacentral:rRNA from 1 species
UACGUAGGGGCAAGCGUUGUCCGGAAUCAUUGGCGUAAGCGCGUGUAGGCGGCCUUGUAAGUCCGUUCUGAAAGCCCGGGCUCAACCCGGAGGCGGAUGGAUACUGCAGGCUCGAGUACGGAAGAGGCGAGUGGAAUUCCGGUGUAGCGGUGAAAUGCGCAGAUAUCGGGAGGAACACCAAUGGCGAAGGCAGAUCUCUGGCCGUUACGUGACGCUGAGGAGCGAAAGCGUGGGAGCGACGAGGAACUUG